UCGUGGACAAUCUGGUGGCUCAGCAGACCCACUCUAGUGCCUAGAAGGUUCCUGGAGAGCUGCUGGGUUCUAGUCUACAAUGAAAGCCUGGACAAGCUGGUUCUGAUAACACUGAAGAAAUCGUCAUUGUCAUCAUCAUGGUCACCGUCACCAGCACCAGCAGCAGCAGCAUAACUGACUCGGCAGCAAGAGAAAAGAGCAAGAGAGCCAAAGGCAAGAAAUCUCUCUGUCACUCCCUUUUAUCUGAGCUGGCACCAGAAAGCACCAUUCAUAGGGUACAUUGAUUAUAACAACUGGGACAGUUCCUCAGGUGAGGCGCGUGUGUGUGUGUGUGUGUGUGUGUGUGUGUGUAUGUGUGUGUGUGUGUGUAUGUGUGUGUGUGUGUGUGUGUGUGUGUGUUGCCAGUUGACAUUAAAACCAACCAUCAUUCUCGUUCAUACGGUAAUUCUGGGGCUAACUUGUUAAAAAUGGUCUGGGUGGCUCUGGUUAUUCUGUAACUUGCCCUGUAGACCAGGCUGGCCUCGAACUCAGAGAUCUGCCUUCAGAGUGCUGGGAUUAAAGGCAUGCACCACCAUGCCUGGCUUCUGGUGCUAACUUUUUGAAGAACUAACAAAUUAAUUUCCAUAGAAGCCGUGCAGUAUUUAUGUUUCCACUAGCAAUGGAAUGUUGGGGUUCUGGUUUCUCUGUAUCUGUAUCAAUACUUGUUACUUUCU
rnacentral:lncRNA from 1 species